AUACGUAGGGUGCGAGCGUUGUCCGGAAUUACUGGGCGUAAAGAGCUCGUAGGUGGUUUGUCGCGUCGUCUGUGAAAUUCCGGGGCUUAACUCCGGGCGUGCAGGCGAUACGGGCAUAACUUGAGUACUGUAGGGGAGACUGGAAUUCCUGGUGUAGCGGUGAAAUGCGCAGAUAUCAGGAGGAACACCGGUGGCGAAGGCGGGUCUCUGGGCAGUAACUGACGCUGAGGAGCGAAAGCAUGGGUAGCGAACAGGAUUAGAUACCCUGGUAGUCCAUGCCGUAAACGGUGGGCGCUAGGUGUAGGGGUCUUCCACGACUUCUGUGCCGUAGCUAACGCAUUAAGCGCCCCGCCUGGGGAGUACGGCCGCAAGGCUAA
rnacentral:rRNA from 1 species